rnacentral:rRNA from 1 species
UACGUAGGGUGCAAGCGUUGUCCGGAAUUAUUGGGCGUAAAGAGCUCGUAGGCGGUCUGUCGCGUCUGCUGUGAAAACUCGGGGCUUAACCCCGGGCCUGCAGUGGGUACGGGCAGACUAGAGUGCGGUAGGGGAGACUGGAAUUCCUGGUGUAGCGGUGAAAUGCGCAGAUAUCAGGAGGAACACCGAUGGCGAAGGCAGGUCUCUGGGCUGACACUGACGCUCAUGCACGAAAGCGUGGGGAGCAAACAGG